rnacentral:rRNA from 1 species
AUACGGAGGAUGCGAGCGUUAUCCGGAUUUAUUGGGUUUAAAGGGUGCGCAGGCGGGCGAUUAAGUCAGCGGUGAAAGGCUCCGGCUCAACCGGAGCAGUGCCGUUGAUACUGGUUGUCUUGAAUGCGGUAAAGGCCGGCGGAAUUGGGCGUGUAGCGGUGAAAUGUAUAGAUAUGCCACAGAACACCGAUAGCGAAGGCGGCCGGGCGGGCCUGCAGUGACGCUGAGGCACGAAAGCGUGGGGAUCGAACAGGAUUAGAUACCCUGGUAGUCCACGCUGUAAACGAUGGACACUCGUUGUCGGCGACAGACAGUCGGCGGCCAAGCGAAAGUGAUAAGUGUCCCACCUGGGGAGUACGGUCGCAAGGCUGAAACUCAAAUGAAUUGGCGGGG